rnacentral:rRNA from 1 species
AUUGAACGCUGGCGGCAGGCCUAACACAUGCAAGUCGAGCGGAUGAAGGGAGCUUGCUCCUGGAUUCCGCGGCGGACGGGUGUGUAAUGCCUAGGAAUCUGCCUGGCAGUGGGGGAUAACGUCCGGAAACGGGCGCUAAUACCGCAUACGACCUGAGGGAGAAAGUGGGGGAUCUUCGGACCUCACGCUAUCAGAUGAGCCUAGGUCGGAUUAGCUAGCUGGUGGGGUAAAGGCCUACCUAGGCGACGAUCCGUAACUGGUCUGAGAGGAUGAUCAGUCACACUGGAACUGAGACACGGUCCAGACUCCUACGGGAGGCAGCAGUGGGGAAUAUUGGACAAUGGGCGAGAGCCUGAUCCAGCCAUGCCGCGUGUGUGAAGAAGGUCUUCGGAUUGUAAAGCACUUUAAGUUGGGAGGAAGGGCAGUAAGUUAAUACCUUGCUGUUUUGACGUUACCAACAGAAUAAGCACCGGCUAACUACGUG